rnacentral:rRNA from 1 species
UACGAAGGGGGCUAGCGUUGUUCGGAAUCACUGGGCGUAAAGGGCGCGUAGGCGGCUUUAUAAGUUGGGGGUGAAAGCCUGUGGCUCAACCACAGAAUUGCCUUCGAUACUGUAGAGCUUGAGACCGGAAGAGGUAAGUGGAACUGCGAGUGUAGAGGUGAAAUUCGUAGAUAUUCGCAAGAACACCAGUGGCGAAGGCGGCUUACUGGUCCGGUUCUGACGCUGAGGCGCGAAAGCGUGGGGAGCGAUCCGG